UGACAGAUCAGGGUGGUGGUUGCUGAAGUUUGAGAUAGCUGUGGCAAUUUCUUAAAAUAAGGUAAAAAUGAAGUUUGCUGUGUCACGUGACUCUUCCUUCCAUGAACGAUUUCUCUGUAGCAGAAUCCUGCUGCUGCUUUAUCAACUCAGUUUAUAGAAUAUUCUAAAACCUUCGUUGUCAUUUCAACAGCGUUCACGGCGUCUUCACCAGGAGUAGAUUCCAUCUCAAGAAACCACUUUGCUCAUUCAUAAGAAGCAACUCCUCAUUUGUUCAAGUUUUGCCGUGAGACUGCAGCAAUUCAGUCACAUCUUCAGGCUCCACUUUAGUUUUAGUUCUCUUACUGUUUCCAUCACAUCUGCAGUUACUUUCUCCACUGAAAUAUCCAACCCCUCAGAGUUAUUCAUGAGGGUUAGAAGCAACUUAUUCCAAACGCCUGUGGAUGUUGAUAUUUUGACCUCCUUCUAUGAACCAUGAAUGUUCUUAAUGGUAUCUGGACUGGACAUGAAUGACAAGGGACCAGCAACAGAAGUCUUGCUAAAUAGGAGGGAGUCUGACUGCAUCCUUAUCAGAAAGAGGGUGAGCUGGCAAAGUCAAGAAGCAAAUUUAGGAAAAUUAAUUGAACAAUAGCGAAAAUGCAAGUUCAUUAAAGUUUAAUAAAGGCAAAAGAGAAACUGAUGGAGUCUCGCUAUGUUGUCCAAGCUCAACUAGAUAGACUAGAACUCCUGGGCUCAAGUGACCCUCCUGCCUCAGCCUCCCAAGUAGAUGGGAUCAUAGGUGUGUAUCACUGCAUCCAACUCAUAUAAUCAAGUUCUGAGCAACUUAUGCUCUCAAAUAUUAUUAAAUGAUACUCCCAAAGGAACUCUUACAUGCCAGACUUAGAUUUCCAUACAUCUGCUCAAGAUAGAACAUUUGAAUUUGACACAUGGCUUGUUGUCUGACAGCCAAAAAUUCAGUUUUGGCAGCAUCAGUGUCUUUGUCCACAGUAGAACAACAUUUAUGCCAUUAUUUCAAUAUAUUAUUACAAUGUCUUUUCAACAUUGUUUCUUAUAACCCCAAAACUUUUCAAAGGUGUUGCUUGUUUAUGAAGGUGGGAAAAAGGGUAAGAGUGAUGAAGUAGGAAGUAGGGAUUUUUAAUUUUUAAAACACAAACUUUUUAAUUUAUGUUUAAGACAAUACAAGAUUUUGUUUUAAAAAGUUGUUGCUAGAAAAAGAGCUUGAAAAUUACUGCUUUUUAAAACACGAGUGAAUAUGGAAAUAAUAAGUGUUGAUACUAAUGAUGAAAAUCAUAAGUAUCAUACAUUUAAAAUUGUUGCAAAUAUAGAAAACAAUAGACCUGCCAACAGCAAAACAUUUUUAGCCUACAAUACUCAUUGCUUUUAAGCUGGGAGACUAUCUAUUCCUUGGAGGAAGAAUGGGGAAAUUAAAGAACAUGAAUAAAAUGCCACGAAUAUACUGUGACUGCAUUUAACAAGGGAGGUGUGAUGAGGAAUUUUUAAAAAAAUUUUUUUAGCUUUUUUGGAAACAAAGUCCCAUGGUUGAAACACACAAACAUGUUCAAGUUUGCUGCACAUUUUCAGGAAUACAGUGUAUUCGAAAGAAAGUGGCCUGCACUAUAAAUCACGCAGGUAGGAAUUGUUCUGAGCCCAAGAAACUUCAACAUCUCAGAACUGGCUAACAACUUUUAAAUCCUAUAAAAGAAAGUUUUGACUCGGGUCUGUUUUAUGACUGCCUCUGGGACUAUGACACUGAUAUGCAGGAUUUUUCAGCCUUAACACUAUUGACAUUUAGGGUAGGAAAAUGCUUCAUCAUGAAAGGAGUUGUCUGAGCCUUGUAGUAUGUUUCAAAGCAUCCUUGACCUCUACCACUACAUUCCAGUAGCAUCCACCCUCUCCCACCCCAUCUCCAACUUUCUCUCCGCCCUGAAGAGUGACAAAAUGUCUCCAAACAAUGCCAAGUGUCCCAUGGUUGUAUAUUGCCUCUCUAGAGAACUACUGAUAUAAACUAUAGGACCAAGCCUGACAGAAGAGCAUAACCACAAAGUGAUGCUAGGAUUACUUCACAUGCUUUCUGGACUAAAGAAAUCCAAAUGAAACAACAUUAUUGGUUAAAGUAAUUGUGUUUCAGUACCUAACAGUUUCUCAACUGUUAUAGUUUAGGUCUUGCUUUCCAAGCAUUACUAAAUGGGCAAAUUCAGCUGAGACCAUUAUGUUAAUAUUGUCGACUUUGUUAGUUUAUAAGACAUCAUUCUACUGCUAUCUUGUACUUCAGUUUGGUGUUUUAUGACCUAUAAAUAUAACAAUCUAGGUGAGAGGUUUAUACUUUCAUGUAAGUGUCUUUGAAUGUUCCUUAUAGGUAAAAUUAGUGCUAUAAAAUAUGACCUCUUGAAUUUCACUGGGUUUUAAAUAAGGAUUGUUGAUAACUUGAAAACUCUUGUCUUUAAUUUUUAAUAAAAGUUCUAAGUAUGUCAAAUUAAAAAUUGUGGUAGCUUAAUUUUUAUUCUGUGAAUAAUUUACAACACAGAUGGAACUCAUUGACAGCUCUUAGGACCUUUUCAACAAAUAUUAAGUUAGCAUCUACCAAAUGUGAGGCAUAAGAAAUGAAGUGCUGAAUGCUAAUUUAAUGCCUCUUAAAGACCUCUCUGUCUGAAGUUUGU
rnacentral:lncRNA from 10 species